rnacentral:rRNA from 1 species
CCUACGGGAGGCAGCAGUGAGGAAUAUUGGUCAAUGGACGAGAGUCUGAACCAGCCAAGUAGCGUGAAGGAUGACUGCCCUAUGGGUUGUAAACUUCUUUUAUAUGGGAAUAAAACAGGGUAUGCAUACCCUCUUGUAUGUACCAUAUGAAUAAGGAUCGGCUAACUCCGUGCCAGCAGCCGCGGUAAUACGGAGGAUUCGAGCGUUAUCCGGAUUUAUUGGGUUUAAAGGGAGCGUAGGUGGAUUGUUAAGUCAAGUGUGAAAGUUUGCGGCUCAACCGUAAAAUUGCAGUUGAAACUGGCAGUCUUGAGUACAGUAGAGGUGGGCGGAAUUCGGGGUGUAGCGGUGAAAUGCUUAGAUAUCACGAAGAACUCCGAUUGAGAAGGCAGCUCACUGGACUGCAACUGACGCUGAUGCGCGAAAGUGUGGGUAGCAAACAGGAUUAGAUACCCGUGUAGUC